rnacentral:tRNA from 1 species
GCCUGGGUGGCUCAUUGGAUUGAGCAUCUGAUUCUUGAUCUCAAAGUUGUGAGUUCAAGCCCUGUCUUGGGCU